UACAGAGGUCCCGAGCGUUGUUCGGAUUUAUUGGGCGUAAAGGGUGCGUAGGCGGCGGAGUAAGUUGGGUGUGAAAUCCCCGGGCUCAACCUGGGAACUGCAUUUGUGACUGCAUGGCUGGAGUGCGGCAGAGGGAGAUGGAAUUCCGCGUGUAGCAGUGAAAUGCGUAGAUAUGCGGAGGAACACCGAUGGCGAAGGCGGGUCUCUGGGCAGUAACUGACGCUGAGGAGCGAAAGCGUGGGGAGCGAACAGG
rnacentral:rRNA from 1 species